rnacentral:rRNA from 1 species
AUACGGCGGGUGCAAGCGUUACUCGGAAUCACUGGGCGUAAAGCGCGCGCAGGCGGGCUGAUAAGUUGGAUGUGAAAGCCUACGGCUCAACCGUAGAACUGCAUCCAAAACUGUCAGUCUAGAGUCUGGGAGGGGAAGAUGGAAUUAGUUGUGUAGGGGUAAAAUCCGUAGAGAUAACUAGGAAUACCAAAAGCGAAGGCGAUCUUCUGGAACAGUACUGACGCUGAGGCGCGAAAGCGUGGGGAGCAAACAGGAUUAGAUACCCUAGUAGUCC